UCAGAUAAGCACAAUUUCUCUGCAUCGUCAUGGGACAGAUGAUUUCCCAGGCUUAAUUUUGUGUUGUGAAAUAUGUUUCGGUCCAUCCCACUGUCGUGUCCUCCUGGCACAGACUGCGCCUGCGUCAGUGAGCAGAUCCAUCUCUUUAAAUAGUUUCCAGUCCCUGCAGUCUGAGAAGCAAACACCGACACGCUUUCUGCUGUAAACCACAGGCUCGACUUCCCAGCUUCACAAGACUUUAUCGCUGAGGAACGCCCCUAAGGAGACAGCAUGGCCCCCACUAGCAAGCAAUGUGCUCUGAAGAUCAAAGAAGGGAAAUAUGUGACAGUCAUGAAUUUGGAUGAGACAAUGACACUGUGUGCUGUUGAUUUUCAAACGGCACCUUCAGUGACAAUAUGCACCCGUGUAAGGAACGAGAGAAACCAGAUGGCUUUACAAUUCCAUCAUGUAAAUGGUUACUAUUUACCAAAGGUGAAUGAAGACUCCGUGCAGUUGGAGAUGACUGUCAAUAAUGUCAUUCUAGCCACUGAUGCUAUCAAUGAGAGUCACUGGUUUGAGAAGGUAGACGAGAAAGGCAGUGAACAUUACACCCUGCAAUCUGUGGUCCAUCCCAGGAAAUACCUGUCAACAAGUUUAAUUAAUAAAAGGCAAAGCAAAUUUGUCCUAGGUGAACAUGGGAUUCCAGUCACAAAUGUAUAGAGACCCAUCUGAGAUUCACCUUCUAUCACAUAACUCAAGAUUUCCCUGCUCCCUCUACACUCUACCAGCUCUGGACCAAGCGCAUAGUGGAGUUCUUUAGAUAAUUUGUCAUUCUUGGGUGGCUAAGUGUCUUCUUGUUAAACUUUAUUAAAGGGAUACUCUUGUAAAGUUGAGGGACUUGGAAAAGACAGAUUAAAACAGUAGUAGUACUCAAUGUGAAUAGUAAACUGAUCUUCAUGUGUAAAAUCGGUAGUUUCCCUUUAAUGUGAACAUUUUCCACAAAUUCUUUUGAUGUGUUGUUAUUUAAGUGGGGAAGGGGGUAUUAUCUUAUUUUCGUGACACAUUUGUAUGACUACUGUAUGUCUGUGAAGCCGGAGUUUCUUUUUCCCCAAAACCUGUUUGGUUUAACCAAAAGGUAUUUGGUUAACUAGAGCUCCACUAGUUAAUCAAUCUCUACUGAAACUGGCUGUUUGGGGUUCUUUAAUGCAACAAUAUUCAUGAUACACUACACUGAUUGUCUGGCAGUAAUGCUUACCUAGCUUGAUCAAAACCUACUAGUUUAUAAGCAUGAUUCCGAUAUUGAGUUACAGUAGCAGUUAAAUAGUGAAUAUCAGUUUCAUCAUGUCAAAAAGUUGGUUCAGCAGUUAAAGAAACUUCAUACUUUACCAGCAUUUAGAUAAAACCUGCAAGUGCUAAAUCCACCCAACCUGAAGGUAAUUAAUGUUUUCCAUAACACCCCCUCUGUGAGGUUCAAUGCAUAUCAAGGGUUGCUGCUUACCUUUUCAUGUCUUGCUGGUGUUGGAAAAGAAAAGCUUUAUAUAUUAUUUAUAUAUUGUAUUGUUGGUCAUUUUUAUGCUAACAGUUUGACUGUAAAUACGAUUAUAUUUUUUAAUAAACAGUUCUAUGUCGUGAA